rnacentral:misc_RNA from 1 species
ACGGGAUUUAUAUUUUGGUUUUUUCUUGGACCAAAAAAUCUCCAUGACCCUUUUUUUGUUUAUUCAAAAAUUGUUAUUUCUUCGGUAAGACGUUUCUUUAGUUUCUUAAAGAACUAUUGAUAAACUUUUCUUGUCAAAGAAAAGUUUAUGAAUAUGUUGCUUACCGAAGUACCUUACUCUUUUUAUUUUAAAGUCUGAGUUAUACAAAAAAAUAAAUUA